CGGCGUGCCUGAUACAUGCAAGUCGAACGGUCUUUCUAUGGAAGCUUGCUUCCACUGAGAAGAUAGUGGCGAACGGGUGAGUAACACGUGGGUAACCUGCCCAUAAGAGGGGGAUAACAUCCGGAAACGGGUGCUAAUACCGCAUAGUUUUCUUGAUCGCAUGAUCGGGAAAGGAAAGACGGCCUUUGUGCUGUCGCUUAUGGAUGGACCCGCGGCGUAUUAGUUAGUUGGUGAGGUAACGGCUCACCAAGACGAUGAUACGUAGCCGACCUGAGAGGGUGAUCGGCCACAUUGGGACUGAGACGCGGCCCAAACUCCUACGGGAGGCAGCAGUAGGGAAUCUUCCGCAAUGGACGAAAGUCUGACGGAGCAACGCCGCGUGAGUGAAGAAAAGGUUUUCGGAUCGUAAAACUCUGUUGUCAGAGAAGAACAAGUUGGAGAGUAACUGCUCCAGCCUUGACGGUAUCUGACCAGAAAGCCACGGCUAACUACGUGCCAGCCGCCGC
rnacentral:rRNA from 1 species